rnacentral:rRNA from 1 species
GACGAACGCUGGCGGCGUGCUUAACACAUGCCAGUCGAACGGAAAGGCCCUGCUUUUGUGGGGUGCUCGAGUGGCGAACGGGUGAGUAACACGUGAGUAACCUGCCCUUGACUUUGGGAUAACUUCAGGAAACUGGGGCUAAUACCGGAUAGGAGCUCCUGCUGCAUGGUGGGGGUUGGAAAGUUUCGGCGGUUGGGGAUGGACUCGCGGCUUAUCAGCUUGUUGGUGGGGUAGUGGCUUACCAAGGCUUUGACGGGUAGCCGGCCGAGAGGGUGACCGGCCACAUUGGGACUGAGAUACGGCCCAGACUCCUACGGGAGGCAGCAGUGGGGAAUAUUGCACAAUGGGCGGAAGCCUGAUGCAGCAACGCCGCGUGCGGGAUGACGGCCUUCGGGUUGUAAACCGCUUUCGCCUGUGACGAAGCGUGAGUGACGGUAAUGGGUAAAGAAGCACCGGCUAACUACGUG